rnacentral:rRNA from 1 species
GACAGAGGGUGCAAACGUUGUUCGGAAUUACUGGGCGUAAAGGGCUCGUAGGCGGCCAACUAAGUCGGAUGUGAAAUCCCCAGGCUUAACCUGGGAACUGCAUCCGAGACUGGAUGGCUUGAAUCCGGGAGAGGGAUGCGGAAUUCCAGGUGUAGCGGUGAAAUGCGUAGAUAUCUGGAGGAACACCGGUGGCGAAGGCGGCAUCCUGGACCGGCAUUGACGCUGAGGAGCGAAAGCCAGGGGAGCAAACGGG